rnacentral:rRNA from 1 species
AACGAACGCUGGCGGCAUGCCUAACACAUGCAAGUCGAACGAGACCUUCGGGUCUAGUGGCGCACGGGUGCGUAACACGUGGGAAUUUGCCUCGGGGUAUGGAAUAACUCAGGGAAACUUGAGCUAAUACCAUAUAAUGUCUUCGGACCAAAGAUUUAUCGCCCUGAGAUAAGCCCGCGUAGGAUUAGCUAGUUGGUGAGGUAAAGGCUCACCAAGGCGACGAUCCUUAGCUGGUCUGAGAGGAUGAUCAGCCACACUGGGACUGAGACACGGCCCAGACUCCUACGGGAGGCAGCAGU